AAUUUGCUGUUCAUAUAGCCUCUUCCUUUUCAAGCAUUGUAUUGCCGCUAUAUUAUCAACAACAGAGUAGAGAGUUCAAUCAGCACACAAUAAAAUUAGUAAGAAGAAAUCACUUUGGAGCACAUGAGGCAGCUUAAACCGUUGGAAUGGGUCGUGGGAGAGCAAUACAAGUGCCUCUUUAUUUGGAGUUUGAUAUACAAAAUCAGCAAAAAAUAUAGACAUAGAGACCUGCUAAUUGCUUGUGUUUUCUAAUAGUCCAUAAAUGGAGACCCUAGAUAAUUACAUCCACAGAAGACACGUAAUAA